rnacentral:rRNA from 1 species
GACGAACGCUGGCGGCGUGCUUAACACAUGCAAGUCGAACGGAAAGGCCCUGCUUUUGUGGGGUGCUCGAGUGGCGAACGGGUGAGUAACACGUGAGUAACCUGCCCUUGACUUUGGGAUAACUUCAGGAAACUGGGGCUAAUACCGGAUAGGAGCUCCUGCUGCAUGGUGGGGGUUGGAAAGUUUCGGCGGUUGGGGAUGGACUCGCGGCUUAUCAGCUUGUUGGUGGGGUAGUGGCUUACCAAGGCUUUGACGGGUAGCCGGCCUGAGAGGGUGACCGGCCACAUUGGGCCUGAGAUACGGCCCAGACUCCUACGGGAGGCAGCAGUGGGGAAUAUUGCACAAUGGGCGGAAGCCUGAUGCAGCAACGCCGCGUGCGGGAUGACGGCCGUCGGGUUGUAAACCGCUUUCGCCUGUGACGAAGCGUGAGUGACGGUAAUGGGUAAAGAAGCACCGGCUAACUACGUG